GACGAACGCUGGCGGCGUGCUUAACACAUGCAAGUCGAGCGGUAAGGCCCUUUCGGGGGUACACGAGCGGCGAACGGGUGAGUAACACGUGGGUGACCUGCCCUCAGCUCUGGGAUAAGCCCGGGAAACGUGGGUCUAAUACCGGAUAUGACUUCAUGACGCAUGUUGUGGAGUGGAAAGCCUUGUGCGGCUGAGGAUGGGCCCGCGGCCUAUCAGCUUGUUGGUGGGGUGANGGCCUACCAAGGCGACGACGGGUAGCCGGCCUGGAGAGGGCGACCGGCCACACUGGGACUGAGACACGGCCCAGACUCCUACGGGAGGCAGCAGUGGGGAAUCUUGCGCAAUGGGCGAAAGCCUGACGCAGCGACGCCGCGUGAGGGAU
rnacentral:rRNA from 1 species